AGCUAAUUUAAUGGUAUUUUAAUUUUUAUUAAAUGUAUAAACACGUUUCCAAAAAAUUUCGUACACACAAUUCCCUCUCCAGAAAAAGCAAAAUCGACUACUGUUGGUUUCUCUGAAAAAUCCAAUCACUUAGUUUUCGCGCUCCGUUUCAAAACCCUAGCUGUUCAAAUAUCGCCUUUCUCAGUACAUUUCGACGAUCGCCGCUUUGUUUCGCAAUUCAAUUCCGAUUUCUGGGAGUGUAUGCUGAAAAUUGGAGGAUGAACGAUGCGGGCACUGCGUGGCGGAUUGGGCAGAGGUAAGCGGAAGCAGCAGGACCAGCCAGUGGCGUAUAAGGGCGACAAGAACGUUGGCGAUAAUCAGAAUCAGGAUAGUGAGAAAAGAGGGAAGCCGGAAGGGGAAAACGCAGCGAUAGCUACGCGUACGAGGAGGAGGAAAGCGGCGGCAGCAGCAGCAGCAGCAGCAGCAGCGCUUGAAGUGAAGGUGGUUGAAGAGGAUAAGCUGGUUCCGGAGGAGGUCGGAGUGAAAUCAAUGGAUAGCGGCGGCAAAAGCCCAGAGAGGGAAAAUGUGGCUGAUGAUGAUUUACCCUCCACGCCCCUUCCUGAGAAGGUUCAGGUUGGUGGUUCACCAACAUACAGACUUGAAAAAAAGCUGGGAAAGGGAGGGUUUGGACAAGUGUAUCUUGGUCGCCGCAUCACUGGUGGUAAUGUUAAUGUAAGGACGGGUCCUGGAGCUAUAGAGGUGGCCUUAAAAUUUGAACAUCGCAACAGUAAAGGAUGUAACCAUGGUCCACCUCAUGAGUGGCAAGUUUACAAUACUUUAGGAGGAAGCCACGGUGUUCCAAGAGUCCACUACAAAGGCCGACAGGGUGAAUAUUAUAUCAUGGUAAUGGACAUUCUCGGACCAAGCCUGUGGGAUAUUUGCAAUAAUAAUUCUCAGAAUAAUAUGCCUAUGUCGGUUGAAAUGGUGGCUUGCAUUGCCAUCGAAUCAAUUUCUAUAUUAGAGAAAAUUCACGCCAGAGGGUAUGUUCAUGGGGAUGUGAAGCCUGAGAACUUCUUGCUUGGUGCUGUAGGAAGUCCUGAUGAAAAAAAGUUAUUCCUGGUUGAUCUUGGUUUAGCUACUAGAUGGAGAAAUGGUAAUACUGGCCUGCAUGUUGAAUAUGAUCAACGCCCGGAUAUUUUCAGGGGUACUGUUCGGUAUGCCAGUGUUCAUGCUCAUUUAGGUAGAGCAGAGAGUCGGAGAGAUGAUUUAGAAUCUCUUGUUUAUACACUGGUCUUUCUUUUGCAAGGACGUCUGCCUUGGCAAGGAUUGCAGGGUGAAAACAAAGGAUUUCUCGUUUGCAAGAAGAAAAUGGCGACAUCGCCAGAAGCGCUUUGCUGCUUCUUUCCACAGCCUUUCAAAUCGUUCGUGGAAUAUGUGGUAAAUUUGAAGUUUGACGAGGAACCUAAUUAUGCAAAAUGUAUCUCUCUCUUUGAUGGGUUAGUUGGACCAAAUCCAGAUAUCAGACCUAUCAAAACUGAGGGUGCACAGAAGCUUAUAUAUCAGGUUGGUCAAAAACGAGGUAGGCUGCCUUUUGAAGAUGAGGAAGAUAAACAGCCUAAGAAGAAAGUCCGACUGGGGUCGCCUGCAUUACAGUGGGUUAGCAUUUAUAAUGCUCGUAAACCUUUGAAACAAAGAUAUCACUAUAAUGUGACGGAUGCAAGGUUUUCACAGCUUGUUGCUAAGGGGAACGAAGAUGGCUUAUUCAUCAGUUGCACAGCAUCGUGCCAAAAUAUGUGGGCAUUGGUAAUGGAUGCCGGUACAGGCUUCACCUCUCAAAUAUAUCAACUGUCGCCUUUUUUUCUUGACAAGGAAUGGAUAAUAAAACAAUGGGAAAAGAAGUUCUACAUCAGUGCAAUCGCUGGAGCUACCAACGGUAGUUCCUUGGUUGUUAUGUCAAAAGGGACUCGUUAUGUGCAACAAUCCUACAAAGUCAGUGAGUCGUUUCCGUUCAAGUGGAUAAGCAAAAAGUGGAGCGAAGGUUUCUCCGUGACCUCCAUGGCUACGUCAGAGACUAAAUGGGGUGUGGUUAUGACCCGUGGUGCUGGAUUUUCGAAACAGGUUGUGGAGCUUGAUUUUCACUACCCGAGCGAGGGUAUCCACCAACGUUGGGGUCAGGGAUACCGUAUAACUGCAACAGCAGCAACUCCCGACCAGACAGCUUUUAUCCUAAGUGUGCCGAGAAGAAUGCCGGUAGAUGAAUCACAGGAGACGCUGCGUACAACCACGUUUCCGACCACACACAUCAAGGAAAAAUGGGCAAAAAAUCUGUUCAUUUCGUCAGUUUGCUAUGGGCGUACAGUUUCUUAGACGGCGCGACGCAUGAGGUUGAACGGCGUGAACAUCGGAACCACACAAGGAGUUUUGCGGCGAUUAGGGGCAGUACAGAAGGACCCUUACCCGAUUGGAGUGGCUGAUAAUUUACAUGAUUGCGUAUUUGAAGGAUUCUAAAAUCACUCAUUCCAUCAAAAUAUGCUGUCGAAAACCCGAUCGCAUGCACGGGUCGAUUCGUCGCCCUCAUAACAGCUGCAGCAAGCUCCGAGCCCUGCCGAGCUGCAAUGGCACCAGCUUAUGAUCCUCGCCAUCUUUAGCCGCCCAUUUUCAGCCUUGCAAGAACUCAUUUUUCCCAAACCCCAGAAAAAGAAAAUGCAGAUAAAAGAA